rnacentral:rRNA from 1 species
UAGGGAAUCUUCGGCAAUGGGGGGAACCCUGACCGAGCAACGCCGCGUGAGUGAAGAAGGUUUUCGGAUCGUAAAGCUCUGUUGUUAAGGAAGAACGAGUGUGAGAAUGGAAAGUUCAUACUGUGACGGUACUUAACCAGAAAGGGACGGCUAACUACGUGCCAGCAGCCGCGGUAAUACGUAGGUCCCGAGCGUUGUCCGGAUUUAUUGUGCGUAAAGCGAGCGCAGGCGGUUAGAUAAGUCUGAAGUUAAAGGCAGUGGCUCAACCAUUGUAGGCUUUGGAAACUGUUUAACUUGAGUGCAGAAGGGGAGAGUGGAAUUCCAUGUGUAGCGGUGAAAUGCGUAGAUAUAUGGAGGAACACCGGUGGCAAAAGCGGCUCUCAGGUCUGUAACUGACGCUGAGGCUCGAAAGCGUGGGGAGCGAACAGG